AUUGAACGCUGGCGGCAGGCCUAACACAUGCAAGUCGAGCGGGGUUUUCGGACCUAGCGGCGGACGGGUGAGUAAUGCGUAGGAAGCUGCCCGAUAGAGGGGGAUACCAGUUGGAAACGACUGUUAAUACCGCAUAAUGUCUACGGACCAAAGUGUGGGACCUUCGGGCCACAUGCUAUCGGAUGCGCCUACGUGGGAUUAGCUAGUUGGUGAGGUAAUGGCUCACCAAGGCGACGAUCUCUAGCUGGUUUGAGAGGAUGAUCAGCCACACGGGAACUGCGACACGGUCCAGACUCCUACGGGAGGCAGCAGUGGGGAAUAUUGGACAAUGGGCGCAAGCCUGAUCCAGCCAUGCCGCGUGUGUGAAGAAGGCCUUCGGGUUGUAAAGCACUUUCAGCGAGGAGGAAGGGUGGUGUGUUAAUAGCACAUCAUUUUGACGUUACUCGCAGAAGAAGCACCGGCUAACUCUGUGCCAGCCGCCGCGGUAAUAC
rnacentral:rRNA from 1 species